AGACUUGGUCGUAGAGCCACGACCAACUGGGGCAUCACCCCUUAAACUAAAGAAAGCUCACUGAGA
rnacentral:sRNA from 12 species